GUAACUGACCAGACCUAAUUUUUCGUAUCGAAAUUAAAUUACGCGCUUAACCCAGGCUAAUAGUAUAAGUCCUAAAUAUUCAAAGAGCAAUCUCGAAAUAUUUAAGGCAUCCGUGGGAAUUUUAAAUAAAUCUUCGAAAAGAAUUGUUUUGAAAGUGGUCUAUAGUUCGGCCAGAACAGAUUUUGGUUCAAAGCAGGCGCUUUUAAAACAUUGCUGUGCCCAACAAAAACAUAGCGAAGGAAAAUAAAGAAAAAGACCAGAUCAGGGUCAAGUCAGGGGCAGAAGAACCCGUGGAAAGGGCCGAGCUCC